rnacentral:rRNA from 1 species
UACGUAGGGUGCAAGCGUUGUCCGUAAUUAUUUGGCGUAAAGAGCUCGUAGGCGGUCUGUUGCGUCGGCUGUGAAAACCCGGGGCUCAACUCCGGGCCUGCAGCCGAUACGGGCAGACUAGAGUUCGGCAGGGGAGACUGGAAUUCCUGGUGUAGCGGUGAAAUGCGCAGAUAUCAGGAGGAACACCGGUGGCGAAGGCGGGUCUCUGGGCCGAUACUGACGCUGAGGAGCGAAAGCGUGGGGAGCGAACAGG